rnacentral:rRNA from 1 species
GAUGAACGCUGGCGGCGUGCCUAAUACAUGCAAGUCGAGCGAACGGACGAGAAGCUUGCUCCUCUGAUGUUAGCGGCGGACGGGUGAGUAACACGUGGAUAACCUACCUAUAAGACUGGGAUAACUUCGGGAAACCGGAGCUAAUACCGGAUAAUAUUUUGAACCGCAUGGUUCAAAAGUGAAAGACGGUCUUGCUGUCACUUAUAGAUGGAUCCGCGCUGCAUUAGCUAGUUGGUAAGGUAACGGCUUACCAAGGCAACGAUGCAUAGCCGACCUGAGAGGGUGAUCAGCCACACUGGAACUGAGACACGGUCCAGACUCCUACGGGAGGCAGCAGUAGGGAAUCUUCCGCAAUGGGCGAAAGCCUGACGGAGCAACGCCGCGUGAGUGAUGAAGGUCUUCGGAUCGUAAAGCUCUGUUAUUAGGAAAGAACAUAAGUGUAAGUAACUGUGCACAUCUUGACGGUACCUAAAGAGAAAGCCACGGCUAACUACGUG